rnacentral:rRNA from 2 species
GUAGGUGGCAAGCGUUGUCCGGAUUUAUUGGGCGUAAAGCGAGCGCAGGCGGUUUCUUAAGUCUGAUGUGAAAGCCCCCGGCUCAACCGGGGAGGGUCAUUGGAAACUGGGAGACUUGAGUGCAGAAGAGGAGAGUGGAAUUCCAUGUGUAGCGGUGAAAUGCGUAGAUAUAUGGAGGAACACCAGUGGCGAAGGCGGCUCUCUGGUCUGUAACUGACGCUGAGGCUCGAAAGCGUGGGGAGCGAACAGGAUUAGAUACCCUGGUAGUCCACGCCGUAAACGAUGAGUGCUAAGUGUUGGAGGGUUUCCGCCCUUCAGUGCUGCAGCAAACGCAUUAAGCACUCCGCCUGGGGAGUACGACCGCAAGGUUG